UGUAUCACCGUUACCUAUGAACAUUAAUCUCCCUUCUCCUCCUGGAACACUACCACCCGUUGGCCCUUGGCCAAUGAACAUGUCUCUUCAUCAAGGACCACCAACUAUGUUACCCAAUCCAAUGUGCUCCUCCCCUCAUCACCUGUACCCUUCACCUCCGCACACCCCAAACAUGAUGCACCCAAUUCGCUUUAUGUACCCUCCGUAUUCUCAACCCCAGACGUUACCUCCAAGUACGUUCUUGCGCUUUAUGUACCCUCCAUAUUCUCAACCCCAGACGUUACCUCCAAGUACAUUCCCGAUGAGCAGCAGCAAUUUCCAUCCGAAUCAUUAUGCUUGGCAAUGCAAUAUAGCUCCUAAUGCAUCUGACUACAUUCCUGCCACAGUUUGGCCUGGCUGUCACCCAGUCGAGUUUUCUAUAUCACCACCUGUGAUUGAGCCAUUAACUGACUCAAUUUCUGCUUCUAAGGAACCAUCUGAUAACCCUGAAAGCAUUAUUUUGGCAACAAGCUUACCAGUAGAUCUUAACACUAAGGAUGAAGUUAA
rnacentral:lncRNA from 1 species